rnacentral:rRNA from 1 species
UACGUAGGGCGCAAGCGUUGUCCGGAAUUAUUGGGCGUAAAGGGCUCGUAGGCGGUCUGUUGCGUCAGGAGUGAAAACUCGGGGCUUAACCCCGAGCCUGCUUCUGAUACGGGCAGACUAGAGGUAUGCAGGGGAGAACGGAAUUCCUGGUGUAGCGGUGAAAUGCGCAGAUAUCAGGAGGAACGCCGGUGGCGAAGGCGGUUCUCUGGGCAUUACCUGACGCUGAGGAGCGAAAGUGUGGGGAGCGAACAGG